AGAGUUUGAUCCUGGCUCAGAACGAACGCUGGCGGCAGGCUUAACACAUGCAAGUCGAACGCGUGUAGCAAUACACGAGUGGCGCACGGGUGAGUAACGCGUGGGAACGUGCCCUUCAGUCGGGAAUAACCUCGGGAAACUGAGGCUAAUACUCGAUAUUCUCUUCGGAGGAAAGAUUUAUCGCUGAAGGAUCGGCCCGC
rnacentral:rRNA from 1 species